AAAUUGAAGAGUUUGAUCAUGGCUCAGAUUGAACGCUGGCGGCAGGCCUAACACAUGCAAGUCGAACGGUAACAGGAAGCAGCUUGCUGCUUUGCUGACGAGUGGCGGACGGGUGAGUAAUGUCUGGGAAACUGCCUGAUGGAGGGGGAUAACUACUGGAAACGGUGGCUAAUACCGCAUAAUGUCGCAAGACCAAAGAGGGGGACCUUCGGGCCUCUUGCCAUCAGAUGUGCCCAGAUGGGAUUAGCUUGUUGGUGAGGUAAC
rnacentral:rRNA from 1 species